rnacentral:piRNA from 1 species
AUGGACCUACCCAAGCAGAUAAGCAAGUA